rnacentral:rRNA from 1 species
AUUGAACGCUGGCGGAAUGCUUUACACAUGCAAGUCGAACGGCAGCACGGACUUCGGUCUGGUGGCGAGUGGCGAACGGGUGAGUAAUAUAUCGGAACGUGCCCAGUCGUGGGGGAUAACGUAAUGAAAAUUACGCUAAUACCGCAUACGAUCUAUGGAUGAAAGCGGGGGAUCGCACGACCUCGAGCGAUUGGAGCGGCCGAUAUCAGAUUAGGUAGUUGGUGAGGGAAAGGCUCACCAAGCCGACGAUCUGUAGCUGGUCUGAGAGGACGACCAGCCACACUGGAACUGAGACACGGUCCAGACUCCUACGGGAGGCAGCAGUGGGGAAUUUUGGACAAUGGACGCAAGUCUGAUCCAGCCAUUCCGCGUGCAGGACGAAGGCCUUCGGGUUGUAAACUGCUUUUGUACAGAACGAAAAGGUCUCUAUUAAUACUGGGGGCUCAUGACGGUACUGUAAGAAUAAGCACCGGCUAACUACGUGCCAGCCGCCGCAGUAAGAC